rnacentral:lncRNA from 1 species
UUGUGAUGAAGUCCAAGUUCCUUAGGAGGAUAGAAUUAGACCUUUACGAGAAGCACAGUUUUGUCUUCAGUUUCCUCUCCCCCCACCCGGAAUGGCCUGAGCCGAAGCCAGCUCCCUCCGAGAAGUCAUUACCGCCUGACUUGCGUUUGAUAUUUAGACACCUUGGUCACAACAUCUUGCAUUCUCUCGGGAUGCUGAUUUCUAACUGCUCUUUGGCCUUUCCUGCAUUGGUCCUCCUCAGGCAGGGGAUCCCUGCUCUUCUAUAUUAGUGAGAAAACCAAGGCUCAGAGAAACUGUGGAUUUUCUAAGGAUGCUGGCUCCCCGUCCCCUGUCCACCAUGAGUCAAAGCAAUGUGAGUCCCUCACCAGAUGCAACUGCCCAGUCUUGGACUUUCCAGUGACCAGAAUCAUGAGCCAAAUAAACCUCUUUUCUUUAUGAA